CGCUCCUGGUCAAGAUAGUUAAUAACAGUUCCCAGGCAGAGGCAGGCUGUAAUAGCAUCGCUCCAAGCAGCUGGGGAUUUGCUUGUAUGUCAGCCUCUCUCUCUCCGAGAACUAGAAAACGAUGGAAUGUGGUGACUGGUGCUGUGGCAGCCAUCUUGCAACUAUGAGGCAGACACAGAGAGCAUUUCAGUGUCAUCACUGUUGCUAUGGUGAAGAGGCAAAAGAAGAAGGAAGCACAUCCUAGAAUCUACUUGUGAAGUUUUAAAGGUAAUGUGGUUUCCACGCAAAUCAAAACCAGCUGAGAACUUGCCAAGGCCAAGAUGUAAUUGAAGAUGGCAUUUAAGCCUUUGUGUCUCCAGAGAUAUCCUCAUAAAGUAAAAGAC